rnacentral:lncRNA from 1 species
CUGAACCGCGCCCCGUCUCCUUUCUCAUUGGCGCUCGCAGCGGAUUCCUCGCCUUUGCGUCCCGCCCCCUUCCUGCUCCCGGCUUCCUGUGGCGUCUUCCGGAUAGCCCCACACCCCCGGCGCGGGAGAGGCUCGUGGAGGGAGAUGAUUGGAGGACCAAGACCCCCUUUCCUGAAUGGCGACUGGAACCCAGACCUUUCAGAACUACUUCUUCUGUGAUGUCUGUUCAGAUGGUGGACUUCCACGAAUGGGAAACAAGCUGCCUUUGCACCUGAACGACCGAGGAACCUGCUGCCAGCGCUCAGCGUGGAAACCCUUGCAGAGCUGUUCAUGUCAGGGUUGCAGUCACCUUCCCGGAGAGAACUUCUCCAUCUGGAUUUCUGAAGGUUUACACGGGAUGAACCUCUGCAUUUCUUCUGUGUGUCUUUUGCCCGGGAGAAAUCUCUUCCCUGCCCACCUCAUGGGGCCAGGGAUUUGUGUAAUGAGCAGUACAUGGUACAAAAUUGCACUUGGGUAUUGGACUUCCUGGCCCUCCGAUACGGCACGUUUUCAAAUUGCCUUCCUCGAAGAGAAGACCAAGGAAGAGUUUGUCAUGCUGCACGCUUGUACUCGCUGCGUUGAGCUCCGCCAACCGCGAAAACGGCCCGAGGAAAAAUGUUUAUGAUACUAAAUUCCUGUAACAAAGGACGUAGCAAURCAUUAAAUCUCUGAAUAUUUAUGGAAAACUGCUAGAUGGUUUUUUUCCAGAUUUAUAGUGAUGUCCCAAGGUGAAAAAGUAAUUUUAUAUUCACCAUUAAUCUUGUACAACAAAACACAUGGCGAGGAUCCGGU